GAUGAACGCUGGCGGCGUGCCUAAUACAUGCAAGUCGAGCGAACGGACGAGAAGCUUGCUUCUCUGAUGUUAGCGGCGGACGGGUGAGUAACACGUGGAUAACCUACCUAUAAGACUGGGAUAACUUCGGGAAACCGGAGCUAAUACCGGAUGAUAUUUUGAACCGCAUGGUUCAAAAGUGAAAGACGGUCUUGCUGUCACUUAUAGAUGGAUCCGCGCUGCAUUAGCUAGUUGGUAAGGUAACGGCUUACCAAGGCAACGAUGCAUAGCCGACCUGAGAGGGUGAUCGGCCACACUGGAACUGAGACACGGUCCAGACUCCUACGGGAGGCAGCAGUAGGGAAUCGUCCGCAAUGGGCGAAAGCCUGACGGAGAAACGCCGCGUGAGUGAUGAAGGUCUUCGGAUCGUAAAACUCUGUUAUUAGGGAAGAACAUAUGUGUAAGUAACUGUGAACAUCUUGACGGUACCUAAUCAGAAAGCCACGGCUAACUACGUG
rnacentral:rRNA from 1 species